GUGAAGUGAGUUCUUUGGUCAGAAGCAAUACUGUAUGGAAUGCCUCGACAACUGAUGAGGUGUUCUGGAAGAACAUGGAUGGAAGUCUUGACAAAAGCGUUACAUGCACGGAAGGCACAGUCAUAACCAGAAUAAGUAUCUACUUCAUAAGGACAAAGCAUUGUCCUUUCUACAGAGGAAGUAGUCCUAAGUGGUCAGCCAGGCCACCACGUCGCUGGCUGGUCACCCUGAGGAAUGGCACCAUACCAGGGGCUCAAUGUUGGUGUCUGUUGCUGGAAGAUCUGAAACUCAACAGCUGCUAGGUCAGCUUCGGAAACCCGACAAGGGUGGAAAAGCCUACAGUUACAAAUAUCUCCCUGAGGAAGAAGGAAGGCCCUGGAAUUUUUUCUUGGAUUCAUUUCCCACAUUCUGACCAAAUAUAUGUUACCAACAAAUCCAAAA